ensembl:lncRNA
AGCACACGCCGGCAGUUUUCUAAUCGCUCUGUGCACCGUCGCGUGGGAUUACGGGGAUGAACUGUUUGCUCCGGAUGAAAAUUGAGUUUCUUAGGCAGGUUUGUCUCCCUGGGAGUGUGUGGGAGAAUGGCUCAGGCAGGUACACCAAAACCAAAACAGGAAGGAUGUCAAAUAGGUGGCCUACCUGCUGCUUCUUAAACAACCUGCAGUAUUGUUUGAACAAUUCACCAAAUUAUGCAUUGAUGAUCAUUUCUGAUUUUCUGGUAUAAUACGCAGCCUUAUUUAGAACUGUACAAUGGUUAUCAGUAUUAUUGUUUCACAGAAUAGCAUCUACAGCAUGUGGCCAAUAGGUGUCACUGUGGAGAUUGGUGUCAAUGUAAUCCCAGCAAAACUGCUUCCAACAUUUCAGUGUAUCACAAAACAUUGCUUUGCCCAUCGCUGUCAGCUGCACAACAUUAUCACAUGAAAGAGGUUAACAGUCUGGCAACGGGUAUUGGUGAGCGCUGGGUUCAAGUACUCCCAGUGAUUGCAAAAUGGAGAACAGGUGCACCUACUUGAGCCUCCCUGGGCCACACCCGCUCCUGAAAAACAGUAGUUAGUUUUUCACACCCUUUCACACAAACAGAGGAGAGGCAGACAGAAUUCAGGCCAGCACCUGGAAUACAGCCUGAAAACUUCUGGAUCACAACAACAGCAAGCAGAACAUGAAGGAGCUGAUAUGGAGAUCAGCUCCCAGCGAGGUUAAGCAGGGUGGGGAACCACAUCCACUGCUCUGCAUUCAUGAUUUGGAAUAAAAUAUGACUUUGAAGAGGGGAAAUCCUACUGGAAGUGGAAUGUGUAAAGGUUUUGUCAGUAUUUGUCAGUAUUUUUAAAACAUGAACAAGCCUCUCAGGACUGGGUGAUGUUGACAGCUGUGUCAGGAGACAAAACCUUUACUGACAAUGACUGCGAGGCAUACUGUGUAGAUUUAGGAAAGAACCAUUUCUACUGAGCUUCAUUUACUAUCAGAAAUUAUAAAAGUAAUGAUUCAAUAAAUGCAUGACUGGAACUGACUUUGGUGCAUUAAACGUGACAUGAAAGAUAAAACGUUCUCCUCCAAACUCUAAAGCAGGGCUCUAAACAGUUUUGUAAAAGCUUAUGCUUGAAUACUAAAUGCACAUGGAGCAUUAGAGGUCAUUAGAGGUCACUG